CAGAAGGCGACGUUGGUGUUGGUGAGGUAGAGCGUGCCGGCGACGGGGCCCGUGGCCGUGGAGAGGUAGCAGGCGAACGUCUUCUUCACGUGCUCGUCGGGGCCGGAGCCGAAGGUCUGCUUGUAGAGCUUCUCGAAGCCGCCCCCCGUGAUCGCCUUCGCCCCCAGGCUCAGCUUCCCCAUCGCCGCGUCCGACAUGGACGGCGCCGUCUUCACUGCAACAAAGAACGAAGAAGAAAACACAACGGUGUGAGCAGAGCAUCACCAUGAUGGAGAUGGAGGGAGAGGUUGGGUCGGUUUGUGCUUACGGUUGAGCCAGAUGUUGGAGGAGAGCUCCUCGGCCUUGCGGCUCCAGGUGUUGAAGAAGUCGAGGAUGUGCUCCAUGGGGCUGUCCCUGGC
rnacentral:lncRNA from 1 species